rnacentral:tRNA from 1 species
GCCUGGGUGGCUCAGUCGGUUGAGCAUCUGACUUCAGCUCAGGUCAUGAUCUCACAGUUUGUGAGUUCGAGUCCCACAUCAGGCU